GAGGGUACAGCUCAGUGGUAGAGUGCGUGCUUAACAAGCAUGAGGUCCUGGGUUCAAUCCCCAAUACCUCUA
rnacentral:tRNA from 1 species